rnacentral:rRNA from 1 species
UACAGAGGUCUCAAGCGUUUGUUCGGAUUCAUUGGGCGUAAAGGGUGUGUAGGUGGCGCGCUAAGUCGGGUGUGAAAUUUCGGAGCUUAACUCCGAAACUGCAUUCGAUACUGGCGUGCUUGAGGACUGGAGAGGAGUACUGGAAUUCGAUGGUGUAGCAGUGAAAUGCGUAGAGAUCAUGAGGAAGACCAGUGGCGAAGGCGGGUCUCUGGACAGUUCCUGACACUGAGACACGGAAGGCUAGGGGGAGCAAACGGG